rnacentral:rRNA from 1 species
GUUGCGGUUAAAAAGCUCGUAGUUGGAUUUCUGUUGAGGUCGGGCGGUGUACACCUCGUGUAUUAUUUGCUUCGGUCUCGGCAUCCUCUUGGGGAACGUAUCAGGACUUUAUUGGACUGUGCGGGAUUCAAGACUUUUACUUUGAGGAAAUUAGAGUGUUCACGGCAGGCAAGUGCUUUGAAUACAUUAGCAUGGAAUAAUAAUAUAGGACCUUCGUUCUAUUUUGUUGGUUUCUAGAACUUAGGUAAUGAUUAAUAGGGACAAUUGGGGGCAUUCGUAUUAACGCGUCAGAGGUGGAAUUCUUGGAUUGCAUUACGACGAACUACUGCGAAAGCAUUUGCCAAAGAUGUUUUCAUUGAUCAAGAACGAAAGUAUGGGGAUCGAAGACGCUUAGAUACCGUCGUAGUCUAUACCAUAAACUAUGCCAACUAGAGAUCGGUGGGGUUAUCCUAUGUGGCUCCAUCGGCAUCUUAUGAGAAAUCAAAGUUUUUGGGUUCCGGGGGGAGUAUGGUCGCAAAGCUGAAACUUAAAGGAAUUGACGGAAGGGCACCACCAGGAGUGGAGCCUGCGGCUUAAUUUGACUCAACACGGGAAAACUCACCA